AUAUAUACACGUUCAUAAUAACAAGUUGUCCUAUUUAUUUAUUAAGUACAGUGAGAACAUAUGUUCCCUAAAGCAAAUGUUACUCAUAUGCUUGUGCAAAUUUUAUGAAACACUUCUGGUUUUGUGCAGGAUAAAGAAGAGCAGUGGAUGACAAAAACUGGUUCCAGGUGUGAAUGAUUUUGUGUUGCUGCAACCGCUCCAGUGGAACACACAGUAUGAGGUGGAAAUCACUGCACGCAACGUCAAAGGCCUGUCUGAACCCACCUUUCUGAAGUUCUCCAUGCCUCAGAAACCCGACAUCACAGAUCAGUGUUGCGAGCCCCCUCCAACCGGGCGUGGACAUCCCCCUGUACAGCCCAUCCAUACGGUGAACGUCUUCGGAGCUUCUCUGUCACUGUUGCUGUGCUUGUGUCUGUGUUGACAUUGCUCCAUCUUCACCUUGCCUGGAAUGAGCCCAAAAGACUCAGCCGUGCCGGUUCAUUACCUGUUCUGGUUGUGUUGUUGUCCAUGCUUGUGAGCCGAUUGCACAUUAUUGUCAACAAAGGAAGAGGAAAAACUGAGUGGCUAAUUUGUUCUCUACCUGUAACAGUAAUGAUCCGACCCUGAGUUUUAUGUUUAAUGAGCUGCUUUUUGCUGGUGUUUACAAAGAACAGUAUAAGCCACCAGCGUGACGGCUUUUCCAUCUUCUGUGCAUCCACAGGCUCUUUUGUUUUGGUUUAUUAUGACUAUGGGAAAUGUCAGCAGUUGCAUCGCUUGAGAAAAUGCAUUUAAUGAUGUUGCUGAUACUCGCACACAGAGAUAUAUAACACAGCACUCAUUAAAUGGAGUCAAGUAGGAUUUCAAAUUGUUAUGACUUUUAAACACUGGUAUCAUAAAUCAAACAGGCCGACGUGGUUACCCGUAAUAUGAGAAACAUAAAACAAGGAUUCUCUCUCCCAGUGAGUGAAAAUAUAAUGCACAUUCAUUUUCAUUCUCUGGGUACACCUUUGGCAGAUAAUGUUGCCAUGCUACUUUAUUUUAUAUUCUCAGUAUUGAUGAGGAAGAACAUUAGUAACUGAAAUUGUGCGCAGUCUGUGAAUACAAAAAUUUGUGUAGAAUGUUGUUGCCAUGAAGGAGAAGUAGUAAAUGAAUACAGUGAAUUAAGCUAACAGUCAUUGUUACAUGUUACAUUACAUUGUACAGGACUAAAAUCAGCUGAAGUCUACACUACGGUUCAAGGGUUUUAGGUCAUUAAAACAUUUAAUUAUGGCUGCAUUUAUUUGAUCAAAAAUACAAUAAAAAAAAAGCAAUAUUGUGAAAUAUUAUUAAAAUUUUUAGACAAAUGUAUUCUAUUUAUAUAUAUAUUUAAGUGUCAUUUAUUCCUGUGUUGGCAAAGCUGAAAUUUUAGCAGCAAUUACUCCAGUCUUCAGAUAAUUCUUCAGAAAGGAUUCUAAUAUUUAUUUGAAGAUUAUUCAAUAGAUAGAAUGUUUUUUUUAUAUAUAUCUUCAUUAAAAAGAAUUGUGUGUUUUGCAGAAGAUACAAAGUCAUACAGGUUUGGAACUGCAUGAGGGUGAGAAUGCCCCUUUAAAAUGGAAGCUAUUUAAGAUAUUAAUAAUGUAAGUAGAUGUGAUUGUGAUGUCUGAGAAUUGAACUUAUCAGAAUUAUGUUAAAAUAAAAUUAAAGAAAGAUGUUUAUUGAAACAUACAGAACAACAGUCACCAGCAAAAUGAUUUCAGAUCCUCCAUUUGAAUGUGAAACUAAUUUGGAAUUAUGUUACGUUCGUAUGUAACCAACUAAUGAAAUGGUUACUAUAAUGCUAUUUUUAUAGAUGCACUACAAGUGUCAUAGAGAAUUCUAUUAAAAGUAUGGAAAAGAGACUUCUAAUUGGUGCCACUUGACACCCAUUUCAUUCGUUCUGACCCAUCAGUCCAACCUCAUGCUGCACAAAGACAUCUUUGCCACUGAUAAUGGCUAUCCUGACGGCAGUCUGUCUAUUAAUCGUUUAACGGCUAGAGGGUCCCUUCUGCUUGUCAAGCAUAGCGUCUUAAUGAGCAUCAGAGUCUUUAAACCAUCAUUAAGAAGUCAUGCUUGGCUUGUGUCCUCUGUGUAGGUAGUGCAGAGGUUGCUGGGCCAGCAUAGGGUGAGGAGAGGAGGAGGGGGAGUUUUAAAACUCAAGACCUUUUCCAUAAUGGCCAAAGCUUUAAAUUAUCUCAGAAAUCCAGAAGGAAGACUUUCAGCCUGGAGAUAAGAAAACUAUUCCAUUUUAUGGAGUGCUCUUUGGGUUUUAUGGGUUGAUUAGGAAAACGGACCAAACUGUCACUGGUCAGCUCAAUGUUUUCACUUAAUACAACCCAGAAAGCUAUAAAAGUGCCAUCUUAGGUGGGCUAGGUGCACUUUGGCCGUUUAGUAGCUUGGUAACAAAAAAAAAAUUAUAGUUUAUUUAUGGUGUAUCAAAUACAUUUGACGUAUUGUUGUAUUGUAUAAAUAUAUCUCUAGGCAAAUUCACACUAUAUGUGUGUGUGUGUGUGUGUGUGUGUGUGUGUGUGUGUGUGUGUGUGUGUGUGUGUGUAUGUGCAAUUGCAUCAUAAAUGCAAACACGUUUGCAUGUACA
rnacentral:lncRNA from 1 species